rnacentral:rRNA from 1 species
GGAUCCAGACUUUGAUUAUGGCUCAGGACGAACGCUGGCGGCGUGCCUAAUACAUGCAAGUAGAACGCUGAAGAGAGGAGCUUGCUCUUCUUGGAUGAGUUGCGAACGGGUGAGUAACGCGUAGGUAACCUGCCUUGUAGCGGGGGAUAACUAUUGGAAACGAUAGCUAAUACCGCAUAACAAUGAUGACUCAUGUCAUUUAUUUGAAAGGGGCAAAUGCUCCACUACAAGAUGGACCUGCGUUGUAUUAGCUAGUAGGUGAGGUAACGGCUCACCUAGGCGACGAUACAUAGCCGACCUGAGAGGGUGAUCGGCCACACUGGGACUGAGACACGGCCCAGACUCCUACGGGAGGCUGCAGUAGGGAAUCUUCGGCAAUGGGGGCAACCCUGACCGAGCAACGCCGCGUGAGUGAAGAAGGUUUUCGGAUCGUAAAGCUCUGUUGUAAGUCAAGAACGAGUGUGAGAGUGGAAAGUUCACACUGUGACGGUAGCUUACCAGAAAGGGACGGCUAACUACGUGCCAGCAGCCGCGGUAAUACGUAGGUCCCGAGCGUUGUCCGGAUUUAUUGGGCGUAAAGCGAGCGCAGGCGGUUUGAUAAGUCUGAAGUUAAAGGCCGUGGCUCAACCAUAGUUCGCUUUGGAAACUGUCAAACUUGAGUGCAGAAGGGGAGAGUGGAAUUCCAUGUGUAGCGGUGAAAUGCGUAGAUAUAUGGAGGAACACCGGUGGCGAAAGCGGCUCUCUGGUCUGUAACUGACGCUGAGGCUCGAAAGCGUGGGGAGCGAACAGGAUUGGAUACCCUGGUAGUCCACGCCGUAAACGAUGAGUGCUAGGUGUUGGAUCCUUUCCGGGAUUCAGUGCCGCAGCUAACGCAUUAAGCACUCCGCCU